GGUCCAUCGGGUGGCGCAUGCUGUUAGGUGCCCAUGAAUCAAGUUUUGCACCGGGGCCCCAUGUAUUGUGUGUACGCCACUGGGCAUAAGGUUAUCCUAACUAUAAGAUAAGGCUAGGGACUAAUGAAAGUAUUUAGAAAAUUGGCAGAUUAGAUGGGCCGAAUGGUUCUUAUCUGCCGUCACAUUCUAUGUUUCUAUAUUCAUUCCUUCGAUUUCUACACUGUGUUUUAUGCACCAAAUGGAGUACACUUUACUAUAACAAAAUAGUAAAGUGUACUAUGUCUAACCUCUUAUGUCUGACUUGUUACCUUCUGCAGAUUGGUCCAGAGAAUCUACUUUUCAAACCACCUAUUUAAAACCUACUUGACUUGCCUCUUUAUUUAUUGUUUCCGAGCUUAAAAACAGCAAAUAUGAAGCCUCCUGUUUUAUCAUAAAAUUAGGGAUUAUUUUAGCUCAGUGAACGAAUAAUCAAAAUUGUAUUAAAAACAGUAGGCGAAUAUUUUCCCACCCUUUUUUCCCCCCUCCC